rnacentral:rRNA from 1 species
GACGAACGCUGGCGGCGUGCUUAACACAUGCAAGUCGAACGGUAAGGCCCUUCGGGGUACACGAGUGGCGAACGGGUGAGUAACACGUGGGUGAUCUGCCCUGCACUUCGGGAUAAGCCUGGGAAACUGGGUCUAAUACCGGAUAGGACCACUGCCUGCAUGGGUGGUGGUGGAAAGCUUUUGCGGUGUGGGAUGGGCCCGCGGCCUAUCAGCUUGUUGGUGGGGUGAUGGCCUACCAAGGCGACGACGGGUAGCCGGCCUGAGAGGGUGAACGGCCACACUGGGACUGAGAUACGGCCCAGACUCCUACGGGAGGAAGCAGUGGGGAAUAUUGCACAAUGGGCGCAAGCCUGAUGCAGCGACGCCGCGUGAGGGAUGACGGCCUUCGGGUUGUAAACCUCUUUCAGUAGGGACGAAGCGCAAGUGACGGUACCUACAGAAGAAGGACCGGCCAACUACGUGCCAGCAGCCGCGGUAA